GGGGAUUUAGCUCAGUGGUAGAGCACUUGCUUUGCAAGUGCAAGGCCCUGGGUUCCGUCCUCAGUCCCCC
rnacentral:tRNA from 1 species